rnacentral:rRNA from 1 species
AUUGAACGCUGGCGGCAUGCCUUACACAUGCAAGUCGAACGGCAGCACGGGUGCUUGCACCUGGUGGCGAGUGGCGAACGGGUGAGUAAUACAUCGGAACGUACCUUAUCGUGGGGGAUAACGCAGCGAAAGCUGUGCUAAUACCGCACACGCCCUGAGGGGGAAAGCGGGGGAUCGAAAGACCUCGCGCGAUUAGAGCGGCCGAUGCCUGAUUAGCUUGUUGGUGGGGUAAAAGCCCACCAAGGCGACGAUCAGUAGCUGGUCUGAGAGGAUGAUCCGCCACACUGGGACUGAGACACGGACCAGACUCCUACGGGAGGCAGCAGUGGGGAAUUUUGGACAAUGGGGGCAACCCUGAUCCAGCCAUGCCGCGUGAGUGAAGAAGGCCUUCGGGUUGUAAAGCUCUUUCGGCCGGGAAAAAAUCGCCUCUCCUAAUACGGGGGGUGGAUGAUGGUACCGGGCUAAGAAGCACCGGCUAACUACGUGCCAGCCGCCGCCGUAA